CUACGGGGCGCUCCAGUGGGGAAUAUUGCACAAUGGGCGCAAGCCUGAUGCAGCCAUGCCGCGUGUAUGAAGAAGGCCUUCGGGUUGUAAAGUACUUUCAGCGGGGAGGAAGGGAGUAAAGUUAGUACCUUUGCUCAUUGACGUUACCCGCAGAAGAAGCACCGGCUAACUCCGUGCCAGCAGCCGCGGUAAUACGGAGGGUGCAAGCGUUAAUCGGAAUUACUGGGCGUAAAGCGCACGCAGGCGGUUUGUUAAGUCAGAUGUGAAAUCCCCGGGCUCAACCUGGGAACUGCAUCUGAUACUGGCAAGCUUGAGCCUCGUAGAGGGGGGUAGAAUUCCAGGUGUAGCGGUGAAAUGCGUAGAGAUCUGGAGGAAUACCGGUGGCGAAGGCGGCCCCCUGGACGAAGACUGACGCUCAGGUGCGAAAGCGUGGGGAGCAAACAGGAUUAGAUACCCUAGUAGUC
rnacentral:rRNA from 1 species